UACGUAGGGUGCAAGCGUUGUCCGGAUUUAUUGGGCGUAAAGAGCGUGUAGGCGGCCAUACAGGUCAGCUGUGAAAACUCGAGGCUCAACCUCGAGACGUCGGUUGAAACCGUAUGGCUAGAGUCCGGAAGAGGAGAGUGGAAUUCCCGGUGUAGCGGUGAAAUGCGCAGAUAUCGGGAAGAACACCUAUGGCGAAGGCAGCUCUCUGGGACGGUACUGACGCUGAGACGCGAAAGCGUGGGGAGCGAACAGG
rnacentral:rRNA from 1 species